rnacentral:rRNA from 1 species
UACGAAGGGGGCUAGCGUUGUUCGGAAUUACUGGGCGUAAAGCGCGUGUAGGCGGCCAUGCAAGUCGGAUGUGAAAGCCCUCGGCUCAACCGGGGAAGUGCACUCGAAACUGCAAGGCUAGAGUCUCGGAGAGGAUCGUGGAAUUCUCGGUGUAGAGGUGAAAUUCGUAGAUAUCGAGAGGAACACCGGUGGCGAAGGCGGCGAUCUGGACGAUGACUGACGCUGAGACGCGAAAGCGUGGGGAGCAAACAGG